rfam:Pan troglodytes isolate Yerkes chimp pedigree #C0471 (Clint) chromosome 7, whole genome shotgun sequence.
CUUCCAGUAUAAGUAUAUUCUGUGCAAUAUUUGGGACAUACUUAUACUAAAA